rnacentral:lncRNA from 1 species
UCUUCUCUUUGAGGAUUCUCUGUCGUUUGUCUCGUUUUAAAAGGAUUUAUAUUACUAAACUUAAUUGGAAGAACCUAUGUGUCUGCAUGUGCUCAUCUGAUGAGUGACUCUCAAGUCUGAACAAGUGGCACAUUUGUCUCGUCGCCGUAAUUCAAUUGUCAAGACAAGUGACAUGUCCCUUGGCCCAUAAGGUUCCAAAUAUUCCAAUUAUGUUACAUGCUUCAACUUAUUUUUGGGGUCGAAAAUGACUUGCUUCAACUUAGAAGAUCUCAAAAUUCAUGCCUGCACAUACUUCAACUUAUAAUGAAAAACCUUUUUUGGUUUGAACCACUGCUUCAUUUUCUGGAGUGUUAUUUUUGGCUACGUAAGUAUGUCGAAAUUCCGUAACUCUGAAAUGUAUUGUACGUAAUUCAAAGGAACAAAGCCAAGCAUUUUCUUUAAUUUGUUCCCCAACACUUCUUAGUCCUACAUAAAUAUAUAUAUCCAAUUCCAUUAAAAGCACACAAGGGUAAUGUAAAGCAUUAUUUAAAUUGUAAAGCCUUGUGAAUACAAGAUUAAGAAACUAAAAGUAAAGCACAUAGAUGGAAUAAUAUACUAUCAUGUUUGUGCCAUGUGCUUGUCAGAUAAACAAGAGAUAGUGCUAGUUGGAGACUUUGACCAACUGUACUUGCUCCACCUCGUUCUCAUUUGAAUCCCCAACCAAAGUAGGCCCAGUACUUGUUGCUCUUUGAGGUGAAUGUGACGGUCAAUUUAAAAUAUUGUUCAUUGCUGACAUAAUUUAAAAUAUAGUCCCUUUAGUCCUAUUAUAAUUUGUCAUAUCAUAAUCAUAAUCAUCUAAUUAAAGAUCAACCCUAGGCCCAUCUCCUGCCACCAAUCCCUCUACCCUUAAUUAAGGACAAAACUGUAAUCUCAUCUAAACUAGGAGGAAAAAACACUUCUUCAAUUAUGCUAUACAGCUGCAUAUAUCUAUUUUCAUACCCAAAGAGCGAAUUCUCAAAGAGUGACAGCAAAACAAAUCAGAUUCUCCCUCUGACUCCAUUGAAUUUUUUAUGCCGCAGAACCACGUCCUCUUAAAAAAUUUCAAACUAUGAUGUAGUAAUGUAAGCUCAUUGUCAUUGAUUACUGAGGCAAAUUGAAAUUAUUUUCAAACUUACAACUGACGUUUCCUCACGCCCAAAUCCUAAGUUGGAUAUGGUCUGCCAAGUGCUAAAGAGGGACAAAAUCCUUCCCGAAGUUGGCGCUCAUGCUUCACUGAAAUUUCUAUUCUAAAAUUCUAAUCGCCUGAUUCAGCUCCACUAUCAUAUAUCAUAUGAUAUAAUGGUACACAUUCACUACAUUGGUAACAACUUUAAUUUAAUUUAAUAAUGCAUUUCAAUAAUAUAUAGUAGUCAGUUGUCAGUACAAAAACAUGUUCUAAGAAUCUACCUGGUGAGAAUAAGAUGCAAUCGUAGAAGAAUAACUUGAAACCAUCACACUAAUUAUAAAUCCAAAGCUCCUGAAAAUUUGAUUCUAACUGUUCAGGCUCGAUCAGGCUGCAUUAAACCAUGAAACAUCACUCUCAUUCUCUCUCUCUCUCUCUCAUAUGUCAAAUAAGGAAAUGAUGAUUUUGAUUCUCUAUAUCUACUUCUCUCCAACUUCAUUGACUUGGUUAGCAAACAACCUCUGAAUUUCAUUAGUCUAUUCACCAAUUAAAAAGAUAGUAGUAGCGCAAAAAAUUUGACAAUUUAAGGGGCAAAAAAGAGAAAAACAAACAAGAAAAAAAAAAGGAAAGAAAAGAUGAUUCAAGGGAAUCAACCAAACCCCUAUAAUUAACCCAGCACUCAAAAGGAUAUUGAAAGUCCUAAUUAGACUAAUAAUAUUUUUAAUAAAAACAUGAGAAAGGAAAUAAAAUUAUCAGUAGUGCCUUGUGUUGUCUACAUUAGGGGACUGUUGAGAAGUCCAUGCCAUGAUGAAUUGAUGCCAUUCC